rnacentral:lncRNA from 1 species
GGGGAGGAAGGCGUGGGUGUGUUUCCGGCACUGUUUGCUACCAGCUAGCUAAUGUUUGGUCUCCUUAUCUUAGGAGAGGGUAAUGGCUGGUGCCAGCAUGGAGGCCGCCUGAUCUCAAUCUGACUCUAAAGUUAUUAACAGAGCUACCAGGAGGCAGGCCUCCGUGUGGGCCCGCAGCCAGAGCUUCAGGAAGAGGGCCUAAGGAAGAAGAACAGACUUGGCCUCCGGUUACUAGUGUUUUUCUACAGUUGGAGGUGAGAGGAUGGAUUGAGAAGGAGUAGCAGAGAUCUCAGCCCCUGGAAACUUGGAUUAAUCAACUGACAUCUGGGUAUUCUUUUGCAGGAAUCCAAGUUUCUUGUAAGAGCAGAAGUUGCCAGGCACAGAUCACCUCUGUUUCUUCUAACUCUCCCACGCUCACCCACCCCCAAUGUCUUUCCCUGUUCUGGAAAAGUGUGAAAGAGCAGGAUACAUCCUAGGCUGCUGGACAUAGGCCCAAUUAUUCUCUGGAACAAGGAGUCCACCCCUGAUGGUGAAAGGUAAAUGUAUAUGCUUACAAAAAAAAAAUCCCUCUUUUUAAAUACAGUCAGUUUAAACAAAUUUACCACUUUUAGGCCACUAAUUCACUAAUUCUCAUUUCUGUAUAUUUGAAAAUACACAGCCAGGGCUGGCCUGGUGGCCAAGUGGUUAAAGUUCCACGCCCUCCACUUUGGUGGCUCAGCUUCACGGAUUUGGAUCCCAGGUGUGGACCUACUCUACUCUUCAGCCAUGCUGUGGAGGCAUCCCACAUACAAAAUAGAAGAAGAUUGGUGCAGAUGUUAACUCAGGGCUAAUCUUCCUCAAGCAAAAAAGUAGAAGAAGAGGAUUGGCAAUGGAUGUUAGCUCAGGG